GGGAGCAUAGCUCAGCUGGUUAGAGUACUUGCCUUACAAGCAAGGGGUCACAGGUUCGAGUCCCGUUGUUCCCACCA
rnacentral:tRNA from 1 species